GAUGAACGCUGGCGGCGUGCCUAAUACAUGCAAGUCGAGCGAACGGACGAGAAGCUUGCUUCUCUGAUGUUAGCGGCGGACGGGUGAGUAACACGUGGAUAACCUACCUAUAAGACUGGGAUAACUUCGGGAAACCGUAGCUAAUACCGGAUAAUAUUUUGAACCGCAUGGUUCAAAAGUGAAAGACGGUCUUGCUGUCACUUAUAGAUGGAUCCGCGCUGCAUUAGCUAGUUGGUAAGGUAACGGCUUACCAAGGCAACGAUGCAUAGCCGACCUGAGAGGGUGAUCGGCCACACUGAGACUGAGACACGGUCCAGACUCCUACGGGAGGCAGCAGUAGGGAAUCUUCCGCAAUGGGCGAAAGCCUGACGGAGCAACGCCGCGUGAGUGAUGAAGGUCUUCGGAUCGUAAAACUCUGUUAUUAGGGAAGAACAUAUGUGUAAGUAACUGUGCACAUCUUGACGGUACCUAAUCAGAAAGCCACGGCUAACUACGUG
rnacentral:rRNA from 1 species